ACGCACGCUGGCGGCGUGCUUCACCCCUGCCAGUCGAACGGAAAGGCCUCUUUCGGGGGGUACUCGAGUGGCGAACGGGUGAGUAACACGUGAGUAACCUGCCCUUGACUUUGGGAUAACUUCAGGAAACUGGGGCUAAUACCGGAUAGGAGCUCCUGCUGCAUGGUGGGGGUUGGAAAGUUUCGGCGGUUGGGGAUGGACUCGCGGCUUAUCAGCUUGUUGGUGGGGUAGUGGCUUACCAAGGCUUUGACGGGUAGCCGGCCUGAGAGGGUGACCGGCCACAUUGGGACUGAGAUACGGCCCAGACUCCUACGGGAGGCAGCAGUGGGGAAUAUUGCACAAUGGGUGGAAGCCUGAUGCAGCAACGCCGUGUGCGGGAUGACGGCCUUCGGGUUGUAAACCGCUUUCGCUCAUGACGAAGCUUUGUGUGACGGUAGUGGGUAAAGAAGCACCGGCUAACUACGUG
rnacentral:rRNA from 1 species